rnacentral:lncRNA from 1 species
GGAAACCCUGGUGGAUGAGAGAAGAAUAGGAGACAGAGGAGCAAAGGCCAGGGGUAGAAGAGAUGGGUGGGGGUGGAUAUUGACAGAGGUACGAAGGAACAGGACCCAGGCUUGUUAGUGGUUCAUUCUCAACAGUUCUUUUGAGGAGGAUGUAGUCUAGUUCCAAAUAGCAAGGGAGUUGACUUCUAAAGCUUUUGUGAUAUGAGCCCCUGAAUCUGCCGUCUCUGGCUCCCAGGAGCAGUGUGGUCGCAGACACAGGUGUACAGUUUCUGCACUUCCACAGCAUGGGAUAGUGACAUUUCAACUAGCCCACGUACAUAAGAGGUCUGAGAGUCUCUGUCCCUCGAGUUCAUGACUGGAGAUGGCAAUGCUCACAGGCAGUGCUUUCAUUCUCUCACUUAUGCAUGCACCUGUUAGUUUCUCUAUUCAUCCAACAAACAUUGUCGAGUACCUAUUUUGUACCAGGCUCUAGGUAUACAUUGAUGGAUGAAAGAUGUUAGUUCCACCCUCAUGGUCCCUAAUGUCUACCUGGGAAAGAUAGGAAAUAAAUAGCAAACAAAACCAACAAUUGUCCAUCUAAUCAUAUGUUGCAUAUAAAGGUAAAAGGUAAGAUGCUGUGCGAGAAAAGAGGAGAGACAUACUUACAUAGAGGUUUUGGGUCUAUAUAGACAGAGAGUUUGGGGAAUUAGCUGUCCCUGGCCAUGCAGAUUGCUGGGAUGAAGCAUUCCUGGCAGAGGUGGGAAACAACGAUGGGGAGUCAUCAUGGGUUGCACACAGUGGGAUGACAAAGGAUCACUGUGUAUUGUGGAGACAGGAUUGUAGAAUCCAUGCCUCUCAGGUGAGAUCAACCUGCCUGUCAUUUUGUCCCUAAUGCACCCAUUUUCAAUGGCCUAUGUUUUCCAGGAGGCCUCAUAGCUUGUGUAGCGGGUAACGUUCCCUGGAGAAGCCACCCUGUGAACUGCAGAGGAGAGCGUUCCUGAAUUGCAUUCAUACUAUGGCUUUUCAGUAAAAAUUAGGUCUCAGAUAUUCUAGACCUAAAUUAAAGAGAAUGAAUUCUGCCCUCAGACCAGCCCCGUGUUCAGAUUAACUCAUGGUUUAUAGGAGCCCCUUAAAUAUUCAUGAAAGCACAAAGGACCCCAAAAUUAAUCUGCACACUGAAGGUGGAGAGCAGAGAGGUCUGAUUACCUAGUACAUAUAUAUGUGAGAAGCCAAUAUUAGUCAAUUAUCCUACACAGGAAGAUUCGUCUGCAUACAGAUAGAUGAACAAAGGGAAAGGAUUUGUUGCAAAACCUACUCAAACUCCUAAACCACCCGUCCAGACAAGCCACACACACUCAAACACAAGCAUAAGCUCUCAGGUCGAAUUCUAGAUGUGAGAGGAGGAAAAAGCAGAGGUCAUAUGUAUGCACGAUGCUUCUCCCUUUCACUCAUCAGUUCAGAGUAAUUUCUUCACCUGCUAACUCAAUGUCAGAGUCUGCGAGACCAAAUUCAGAAGCAGCAGCCAGGGGACUGAGCAUGUGAUGUUUGGCAAAGCAAUCAUUACAGAGAAACCUCACUUCUGAGAAAAAACCAUGAUGCCCUGAGGAGGAUUUGACCUGUGUAUUUGUUCUUUCAUGGUAAAAAGAAUCAUGACUCCACAGACUCACUGCCAGUAAAGAAUUGACUAUGAGCUUUGUUUUUAAUCCCAAUAUAGGACAAAUGUGGGCCUGUGAAUGGUCUAUGGAAUAGUCUAUCACAAUUAAUCUUGACUUCACACUCAGCUUGGAUAUGAGGCAAAAUCCAGGGCAGGGAAACCUGGGGCAAGAUCUGAUAUCAAAAUUCUGGACCCAUCACUUACUAAUUCUGUGGCUUCAGAUGAGUUACUAAGACUUCUCAAGCUCCAGCUUCCCUGGUUAUAAAGCAAGGAAAAUACUAGUAACGCGUUCUCAGGAUUGCUUUUGGAUCGACUGAGGGAAGUGUAUGCCUGUAUGCAUGUGUGCAUGUAAACACACACACAUACACAGCACACAUAUAUACGCUUACAUACAUAUAUCAUGCAUACAUACAUGCAUACACGUAUGACAACACUCUUUGAAGACUGUUAAGUGCUAUCCAAAUGAUAAAGUAAUUUAAAAAUAUAAUUUAGGCUGCUCUGUUGUAAGAUAUUGGUUGUAAUGAGGUCUUUCCUUUAGUAAUUACAGACUAAUUUGCUAUUGUUCAUGGCGUGAACAAAAUAUUUAUGAAAUGGCAGGAUUAGAACUGUAGUUAAUACCCACAAAAUAAAGUUUUCCUCUGUAAUAGUAACUAGCCCAGAAGAUAUUAAGCUCACAAAAUGUAUCCUGUCGGCUGUAUCUUGAACAGAAGUUUAUAAAUAUAAUUAUUACCAAAUAGAUUACACCUGUCUGCAUGUUUUCCUUCGAUAUCUUUCUUGAUUUGGGUAUUUAAGAAUUGUAGCACAGUGGAAAAGAUGUGGGUUUUGAGUCAGAUAGACCCGAGUUUGUCUACCUAGCCAGCAUUUCCUAGCUGUGUCAGCGCCAGCAAUUCAGUCUCCAUUUCUGUCAUUUUUAUCAAUAGCUAACAUUAGCUGACAUAUAAUACGCUCCAGGAAAUGUGUUUCAUAUACAUCAUCUCAUUUAAUCCUCAAAGUACCCAAAGAAGUAGGUACUAAUAUUAUCCCCAUUUUACAAGGGAGCGAGCUGAAGAGCCGAGAGGUUUCUAUGACUUGCCCAAGGUCACACAGCUAGUAAGUGGCAGAGGGACGUUUUGGACCCCAUCUGAUUCCAGACUCAUGCUCCUAAUUGGGGGAGAAGGUCCUAGAGUGCCAUGUGGUACUCUGAUGGAUCACUAGCAGUCACCACCAUUUGUGAGGAGCUGGCUACACCCAGGCACUUAAUUGGGUGCUUUAAAAACAGUAUAUCGGGGCUUCCCUGGUGGCGCAGUGGUUGAGAGUCUGCCUGCCGAUGCAGGGGACAGGGGUUCGAGCCCUGGUCUGGGAGGACCCCACAUGCCGCGGGGCAACUGGGCCCAUGAGCCACAACUACUUAGCCUGCGCAUCUGGAGCCUGUGCUCUGCUACAAGCGAGGCCGCGACAGUGAGAGGCCCGCGCACCGCGAUGAAGAGUGGCCCCCGCUUGCCGCAACUAGAGAAAGCCCUCGCACAGAAACGAAGACCCAACACAGCCCCAAAUAUAAUUAAUUAAAAAAUAACUUAAAAAUACAAUAUAUCAUUUUUGAUUCUUACAUAAAUUUCAUGAAAUAAAUAUAAUUUUAUUUCUUUUACAGACGAGACAAUGGAGAGUUAGUAGGUUGCUGUCAAAAAAGUCAUUCAGGGGCUUCCCUGGUGGCGCAGUGGUUGGGAGUCCGCCUGCCGAUGCAGGGGACACGGGUUCGUAUCCCGAUCCGGGAGGAUCCCGCAUGCCGCGGAGCGGCUGGGCCCGUGAGCCGUGGCCGCUGGGCCUGCGCGUCCGGAGCCUGUGCUCCGCGGCGGGAGAGGCCACAGCAGUGAGAGGCCCGCAUAACGC